rnacentral:rRNA from 1 species
AAUAUUUUACAAUGGGGGCAACCCUGAUCCAGCCAUGCCGCGUGUGUGAAGAAGGNCUNNGGGUCNUNAAGUUCUGUCCUGGGNNNNNAUAAUGACGGUACCCCAGGAGGAAGCCCCGGCUAACUACGUGCCAGCAGCCGCGGUAAUACGUAGGGGGCGAGCGUUGUCCGGAAUUAUUGGGCGUAAAGGGUUCGUAGGCGGUUUUUUAAGUCAGAUGUGAAAGGUCACGGCUCAACCGUGGUAAGCAUUUGAAACUGAAAGACUUGAGUUAAGGAGAGGAAAGUGGAAUUCCUAGUGUAGCGGUGAAAUGCGUAGAUACUAGGAGGAAUACCAGUGGCGAAGGCGACUUUCUGGACUUAUACUGACGCUGAGGAACGAAAGCGUGGGGAGCAAACA